GGUAUCGCCAAGCGGUAAGGCACCGGAUUCUGAUUCCGGCAUUCCGAGGUUCGAAUCCUCGUACC
rnacentral:tRNA from 20 species